CGAAACCGCGAAUGGCUCAUUAAAUCAGUUAUGGUUCACUAGAUCGUACAGUUUACAUGGAUAACUGUGGUAAUUCUAGAGCUAAUACAUGCACCCAGUCCGUUCCCUCGUGGAGCGGAUGCAGUUAUUUGCCCAAAACCAAUCCGGCCUUCGGGUCGGUCAAUUGGUGACUCUGAAUAACCGAAGCGGAGCGCAUGGUCUCGUACCGGCGCCAGAUCUUUCAAGUGUCUGACUUAUCAGCUUGUUGUUAGGUUAUGUUCCUAACAAGGCAUCAACGGGUAACGGAGUGUCAGGGCCCGACACCGGAGAGGGAGCCUGAGAAACGGCUACCACAUCCAAGGAAGGCAGCAGGCGCGCAAAUUACCCACUCCCGGCACGGGGAGGUAGUGACGAAAAAUAACG
rnacentral:rRNA from 1 species